rnacentral:rRNA from 1 species
GACGGAGGAGGCUAGCGUUGUUCGGAAUUACUGGGCGUAAAGCGCGCGCAGGCGGCUUAGCAAGUCAGGGGUGAAAGCCCACGGCUCAACCGUGGAACUGCAAUGGAAACUGGGGCGCUCGAGUAUUGGAGGGGGUCGCGGAAUUCCCGGUGUAGAGGUGAAAUUCGUAGAUAUCGGGAGGAACACCAGUGGCGAAGGCGGCGACCUGGCCAAUUACUGACACUGAGACGCGAAAGCGUGGGUAGCAAACAGGAUUAGAAACCCCGGUAGU